rnacentral:rRNA from 1 species
CCUACGGGUGGCAGCAGUGGGGAAUAUUGCACAAUGGGGGAAACUCUGAUGCAGCAACGCCGCGUGAGUGAAGAAGGAUUUCGGUAUGGAAAGCUCUAUCAGCAGGGAAGAAGAUGACGGUACCCGAAUCAGAAGCCCCGGCUAACUACGUGUCAGCAGCCGCGGUAAUACGUAGGGGGCACGCGUUAUCCGGAUUUACUGGGUGUAACGGGAGGGCAGACGGAGGUGCAAGUCUGGAGUGAAAGUCCGGGGCCCAACCCCGGAACUGCUCUGGAAACUGGGCGGCUAGAGUACUGGAGGGGCAGGCGGAAUUCCUAGUGUAGCGGUGAAAUGCGUAGAUAUUAGGAGGAACACCAGUGGCGAAGGCGGCCUGCUGGACAGUAACUGACGUUGAGGCUCGAAAGCGUGGGGAGCAAACAGGAUUAGAUACCCGUGUAGUC